UUCGAGGGUGUAGCACAGGUGGUGCAUGGCUGUCGUCAGCUCGUGUUGUGAAAUGUUGGGUUAAGUCCCGCAACGAGCGCAACCCUCAUGUUUUGUUACCAGCGGGUCAUGCCGGGAACUCGAAACAAACUGCCUCUGUAAGGAGGAGGAAGGUGGGGAUGACGUCAAGUCAUCAUGCCCCUUACGCCCUGGGCUGCACACAUGCUACAAUGGCCGGUACAAAGGGGUGCGAACUCGCGAGAGUGAGCGAAUCCCAUAAAGCCAGUCUCAGUUCGGAUCGUAGUCUGCAACUCGACUGCGUGAAGUCGGAGUCGCUAGUAAUCGCAGAUCAGCAUUGCUGCGGUGAAUACGUUCCCGGGCCUUGUACACACCGCCCGUCACACCACGAAAGUCGGCAACACCCGAAGCCGGUGGCCUAACCCUUUUGGGAGGGAGCCGUCGAAGGUGGGGUUGGUGAUUGGGGUGAAGUCGUAACAAGGUAACCAAGGG
rnacentral:rRNA from 1 species